UCCCUGGGCUGGGGGGGUUGAUCAUAAGGACAGGGAAAGGCAUCGCCUCCCAGCAAGUAGCCCUUCUGCCUGCUUGUCUUUGCUCUGCUCCUCGCCUGGCAGCACGGUGACGUGAUGGAGGUGACAAGCAGGGUGUUUCUGCUGAAUCAGUCUCUUUUCUUUUUGCAGGAGGGAAAAGCUGCUGCAAAACUUGCAAGCCGUAGCUUGGAUCCCGUCGUGCUGCUCACAGACAGCUGAUGUGCAGAGCUCGAGCUACUGGGAUCCAGAUCCCUCUCUCAUGUUAUGCUGUGUUGAAGCCUCUAGGACAACAUUUUGGCCUGGAUUCAGGAAGCCUGUUAAGGAUUGCAGCCCAAAGAGGUUGGAGGCUGGGAUGGGCGAGAUGGAGCUGGGCUAGGAGCAGCCCAGUGUUGAGGUUGCAGGAGGCUGCAGGACCUUCCCAGCAGGACAACCAUUGUGUCUGUCCGGUCCUCCAUCCAGCCCCGCCGUGUCCCGAGGGCUGCAGGAGACAUGAGCUCACUGCUGAGACGUGCCAAACCGACCCGCCGGGCGAGGCUGCUCCCAGCUCCACGCUGACAUCUGCCAGAGAUUUCCAGCACUGCUGCCUCGCUGCUUCUCUGCAGAGCGCAGCCCCUGAGCAUCCCAACAUCCUGGUCCUCCUCUGGGCCAGAGGCAUCCACAUCUACAUCCCCAUCCUCACUGCUGUCCCCAUCCCCACCCACAUCAGCAUCCUGACACCUGAACUGGUUGCCAUAGAAACCACAGGUCUGUCUGUCUGCCCGUGCCAAGGGAUGAUGCUCUGCUUCCCCCUGGCACAGCUAUUUGUGGUCCACGAGGGAAACAAGGGCAGAUUGGAGGCACGGAACAUCCCCACAAGGAGGAUGGUGCUUGCUGGGAGUGGAUGGGAAAGUGUAGCUCUGACAGAAGUUGCAGCAUUUGGGACAUCAACGUGAGCAGAGGACGAAAGCUGGGAAUCAUUACAUGGCAUGACAGAAGGCAAAACGCUCACCUGGAGAACACAAUUAGCUCAGCAGGUCUUUUAGUACCAUUAAGGGAUUAUUGUCCUGUUAUUACAUGCCCCAUCAUUAAGGGAUUAUUGUCUCAGUGGUCCCUUAACCUCCUGGGCAUGGCUGGAUGGUGCCACAUCAGACCUCAAAGAAGGUGUUGUUAGAGGGGUGGGGUGGUGAGAGUUGUCCGCUCCUCCAGAGACCACCAGCAGCUCUGGGAGGCAACUUUAGGAGGCAAACCUUCCUGUCCAGCUGGAGAAGUGGAAACCUUUCCUCAUCAUCCUUUCUAAAUGAGGCUUUUUCGGCUGUGCUUUAAUGAAAAGCUGAAACUUCAUGCAGCAAGCAAACGCCUCCUACUAACUAUCUAUUCUGCUUCUCAUCCGAGUUGUUUCUGCAUAUUUUUCAGCAUACAUGAGGUGUUUCUCUGCCCUAUUUCAAAGCAGGGGAAACUGAGGCACACAGCAGCUCUGAGAUACUCCCAUGAGAUCUCUCCUGUGCUGAGGUUCCCACAAAGAGAAAUCAAGCUAAAUGAUCAGGGAUGUGACCGGUUGAUUUGGUGUUCAAGGCCAAAGUGGGAUGGGGGGCCCUAGGAAGCCUCGUUUAGUGCUUGAUCUAGCAGUCUUCAACCUUGCCUACAAUGUGGAGGUUGGAAGUGGACAAUCCCUUCCAACACAAGCCAUUCCAUGAUUUCCUGCCCACAUGGUCCUGUGGGCAACCCCAGUUGACCAUAUAUGGCCAACUCUCUGCUCUCCACCUCCUAUAAAAGAUGCUGGCUGCUGGUUUACUUGCUGCCAGCCCUCCUGGAGCUGUGCGUUCCUCAUUUCCCUUUUAGGAAGCAAGAUUCCUGCACAUAGGGCAGUAAAAAGAAAACAUCUCUCAGCUCUUAUUUAUCACCUCUCUUUAUAACUGACCACUCUCCAAAUAGAGGGACUGCUUGCAGACUGCUUACAGGAGUGCAACACAACGAAGCCAGAGGUGCCUUUGGCCCCUGCUGUCCUGGAUGGAUUUCCAUGCAGAUCUCCCCACCUCACUGCUAUUUAUGGGGUCAGCUCCAGGCAAGCAACCCAGCUGAAGUCCUGGUGCUUACUGCUCACUGGCCAAGCCAAACAACGGAGUGAUGCAAUAUUGCACAAACUUUCCAACCAGGGAAAUUAAUCUUUGCAAUAGAAAAAAGCAAAAAAAGACAGCUCAGGGUGUCUGUCUUGGAGGGGAUGUCUGUUAAAUGGGAUCAGCACAUGUUGUUCUGGCUGUUUCCGCUGAACUCUGCUGCUGCUGAGGUCAGUCUUGCUGUGGGUUUGCUCAAGUCCUGGUGCUUCUCCCUGAGCUGCUGGAGCUCAGGGAGUGCUGGGACCUUGCUCUCAGCCAUAAGGUUUGGGUGGUGCUGUGUGGAGCCAGGGGUUGGACUCUGAUCCUUGUGGGUCCCUUCUAAUUUGGGAUGUUCUGCGGCUGUGUGCUUCUAUCAUUGUAUGAUUCUAAGGUAGAGGUGGGAUCUUCAGGUGGAAGAGUCUUUUCUGGACGAUCGUGUGCUACAGAUUUGGGAUCCACAUGAACUCUUUUUGUACUGCAGCAGUGAUUCCUCAGUUUAAGCUCAGUGCACGUGAUGAGGAUCCGCUCCCUUUUCAGCCUGGACCUGCCCUACUCUCAUCCCAUUUGGUGGGGCAUUGGGUUCCUAGCUCUGGGUGUCUUGAUGGAUGGAUGGGAUACUGAAGAGAUGUCCCUGCAAGUUGGAUGGGACCCUGGGCAACCUGAUCCGGUGGCUGACAGCCCUGCUUGCAGCAGGAGGUUGGAGCUUAAUGAUUUUCAAGAUCCCUUCCAACCCAAUCCGUUCUACAACUCCCAACCAAACCAUUCUAUAAUCCCAACCACUCCUGGUUUUGCAGCUCCGUUCAAACCCCGCUCUGUCAGCACUCUCACACGAGCUGCCACCUACCUUCAAACCUUCUUUCACCCUUCUCUGCAUCUUCCCCUAAACCCUUAAUGGGCCAAAAGACCACUCGUGCGUUAUGGGCGCUUUGGAAAACCCCGGGCAGCGCACGUGGCUGCCGGCUGCCACUUCAGUGCCUCUCUGAUCCCUUACGUAACCAGUGACACUGUUUGUUU